AAGUCGAACGGUAACGUGGGGAGGAGCUUGCUCCACCCUGACGACGAGUGGCGAACGGGUGAGUAAUACAUCGGAACGUGUCCGCUCGUGGGGGACAACCAGCCGAAAGGUUGGCUAAUACCGCAUGAGUUCUACGGAAGAAAGAGGGGGACCCGCAAGGGCCUCUCGCGAGCGGAGCGGCCGAUGACUGAUUAGCCAGUUGGUGAGGUAACGGCUCACCAAAGCAACGAUCAGUAGCUGGUCUGAGAGGACGACCAGCCACACUGGGACUGAGACACGGCCCAGACUCCUACGGGAGGCAGCAGUGGGGAAUUUUGGACAAUGGGCGCAAGCCUGAUCCAGCUAUUCCGCGUGUGGGAUGAAGGCCCUCGGGUUGUAAACCACUUUUGUAGAGAACGAAAAGACAUCUUCGAAUAAAGGAUGUUGCUGACGGUACUCUAAGAAUAAGCACCGGCUAACUACGUGCCAGCAGCCGCGGUAAUACGUAGGGUGCGAGCGUUAAUCGGAAUUACUGGGCGUAAAGGGUGCGCAGGCGGUUGAGUAAGACAGAUGUGAAAUCCCCGAGCUUAACUCGGGAAUGGCAUAUGUGACUGCUCGACUAGAGUGUGUCAGAGGGAGGUGGAAUUCCACGUGUAGCAGUGAAAUGCGUAGAUAUGUGGAAGAACACCGAUGGCGAAGGCAGCCUCCUGGGACAUAACUGACGCUCAGGCACGAAAGCGUGGGGAGCA
rnacentral:rRNA from 1 species